rnacentral:rRNA from 1 species
GAUGAACGCUAGCGGCAGGCUUAACACAUGCAAGUCGAGGGGUAUUGGUUUUCGGACCAAGAGACCGGCGCACGGGUGCGUAACGCGUAUGCAAUCUACCUUUUGCAGAGGGAUAGCCCAGAGAAAUUUGGAUUAAUACCUCAUAGUAUAGUACUUUGGCAUCAAGGAACUAUUAAAGUCACAACGGCAAAGAUGAGCAUGCGUCCCAUUAGCUAGUUGGUAAGGUAACGGCUUACCAAGGCUACGAUGGGUAGGGGUCCUGAGAGGGAGAUCCCCCACACUGGUACUGAGACACGGACCAGACUCCUACGGGAGGCAGCAGUGAGGAAUAUUGGACAAUGGGCGCAAGCCUGAUCCAGCCAUGCCGCGUGCAGGAUGACGGUCCUAUGGAUUGUAAACUGCUUUUAUACAGGAAGAAACACUCCGACGUGUCGGAGCUUGACGGUACUGUAAGAAUAAGGAUCGGCUAACUCCGUGCCAGCAGCCGACGG